CAGGUUAGUUUUACCCUACUGAUAACCAUGUCGCUACAGUAAUCCAAUUCAGUACGAGAGGAACCAUUGGGUCAGGUCACUGGUUUAUGCGAUCUCCUGACAAGGAGUGUUGCGAUGCUACCACCUGUUUGAUAAUGACUGAACGCCUCUAAGUCAGAAUCAAUGCUGGCCGCGACGUACUCCAGAUGC
rnacentral:rRNA from 1 species